rnacentral:other from 1 species
UCAAUCCUGAUGUGUUCGUCUGAAGCAUUCGUUUUGACCGAACACUUUUAUAAAUGGGAGCCUGCAUAGGUUUUCAUGUUGCGUGCAUGCCUAUUCUAAGGAAGCACAAGAAACAUGGAACAGGGCACCCACCUGCCAUGAGCGGGAUCAAAACUGAGAGCGGACGGCACAAUUGGGAUUGCA